ensembl:lncRNA
CCUGACUCUCACAAUCCACCUAUUAAUGAGCUGCAGUCCUACAAGCGGCGCUCAACCGCACGGUGGCGACGGUGGGAAGGAAAAGACCUGAGGAGAAAAUGGCUCUCCAGCUCUCCUUUCCAGGAAGACAGUCCGUUCAAGUGACACUUAAACUCUUACCAAGUGAAAGGAACAGGUGGUCGGUGGGCGUGUCAGUGGCAGAUGAUUGACGCGGCUCUCCACCAAUCAGACGCCGAUUAAAAACCGCGCCAGCUUGCGGAGAAAUCGACCAAUCACGGCUCUGCUUCGUCGUCGGUUGGACCAGCGGUGCUGUAAUGAGCAGCAAGCGGCUCUGCUGUGUCAGUCAGCCGGGGAGAGAGAGAGGAGAACGCCGCGCUCGUCUCCAGGCUCUGAGGGAGAAUACUGCGAUUUGGAAACACUCAGCUUUAUGUCAGAUGAAAUAUCCUGUCUCAACGAGAGGGAAUUAUCGAUUAAGGUUGUAGUGGUGGCCUCUCGGGGGAAUGAGAGAAGCCUUGUGAAUAUUUGGUGAAGCAGCAGUGGCGCCCAGUCUCCUGAGCCUUCCCCUCUGCUUUCAUCCU